GCCAGUUUAGCUCAGGGGUAGAGCAACGGUUUUGUAAACCGUCGGUCGUCGGUUCGAAUCCGACAACUGGCUCCA
rnacentral:tRNA from 2 species